rnacentral:rRNA from 1 species
CCUACGGGAGGCAGCAGUGAGGAAUAUUGGUCAAUGGCCGGAAGGCUGAACCAGCCAUGCCGCGUGAAGGUCAGUGCCCUCUGGGCGUUAAACUUCUUUUGUGCGGGAGCAAUAAUGGUCACGUGUGGCCAGACGAGAGUACCGUACGAAUAAGCAUCGGCUAACUCCGUGCCAGCAGCCGCGGUAAUACGGGGGAUGCAAGCGUUAUCCGGAUUUAUUGGGUUUAAAGGGUGCGUAGGUUGUGAGGUAAGUCAGCGGUGAAAUGCCCCCGCUCAACGGGGUGAAGUGCCAUUGAUACUGCCUGGCUGGAAUGCGGAUGCGGUGGGAGGAAUGUGUGGUGUAGCGGUGAAAUGCAUAGAUAUCACACAGAACACCGAUUGCGAAGGCAUCUCACGAAUCCGCGAUUGACGCUGAUGCACGAAAGCGUGGGUAUCAAACAGGAUUAGAUACCCCUGUAGUC